GAUAAGAAGAUAAGAUACAGAAAAUAAAGCACAGCGCAUUGCACAGAUCUGCACCAAUGGAUUGGAAUGGAAUGUAGGAUUCUUUUCUUGCUGUGGACACCAUCAUAAUGUGAGAUCACUUCUCUGCUCAAUAGGACAAUCAUACCGAUUCCUUAGGAAGACAUAUAGGAAUCAGUAGAGGGAGAUCCUACCCUGGAAUCAUUUGAUGUCCUUGUGUUAUCUUCCUCUACAAAAAGGGCUAGUUGAAAUAAUGACAUGUGGGAGAUCAGCACUCCAAGUCAAAAUUGCAAAACAGAAGAAAAUUCCAGAGUUAUAUCACUGUUAAGAUAGCAACAAAUAAAUAAUUUGCACCCUACAACCCAUGUGUGAAUUUAAUUCUGGAAAACCCAAUCUGAGACAGGGAAAUCCAUCACCAUGUGAAAAAGCCGGGGAUAGUCUGCUGGAAGAAAAUGUAACUUGCAGAGAAUAGGUAAG